GUUCAAAACUAUACCAGUCUUAAAAAUACGUGAUUUCUAUGGUUAUCAACGAUAACAGAAUAGAGUAGAAUAGGAGACUGAUCGCCGUGAAUAUUUAUUUUUCCAAUUACGGACCAUCUCUGGUAUAAUAAUCACAAAUGUACAAUGUAAACACAAGUCAUAAAAGUGAAAAAUACGAUUAAUUCUGAUUAUAUAAACACAAUUAAACGGGUCCACAAAAUACAAUAUUGAUAGUGGUAGUAUACUUUAUUUUCGGUAGUGCAUAGUUACUUCCCUUUAACCAAACAACGGCAUUUGCACCGGUCGUCCGAUAAGAAAAGAACAUUGGGCUCCGUACCAAUAAGUUGAUCACAACCAUGGACCAUGUGUACUCAGCUGCAGAGACAGAACUGGGUCAAGAGGUAGAGAUAGAGCUGCCCAACAGCACUGAGGCAAAUGUAACAGCUGCAGUUGAAAUUUUGGAUACUCAGCACGCUCAGAUUGAUGAAUGCACAAGUACAGGUAGUCAAUCCAUGAAAUCCAUGAGUACACAGCACCAUAAAGGCCCAAUCAACCUGGGAUAUAUCUCUAACAGAAGGGCAAGGCAAAAGUGUUUUUCAAAAAGAUUGAAGACUUAAGUCUCGGGCAAUGGCUCUUCACAACCUGUGUGGGGUGAAGGUGGAGCUCAGGGUGGCUCUGCUACCAGUAGCCUUCAGACAUGUGAAGCUGCAGACAGGCGAGAGCAGCUUCGCAUGUCAAAGAGGAACAGUUGUAUCAUCCCCUCCUCCCCAGAUACACACACCAAAGAAGAAAAAGGUGAUCAACAAUAUGCCAGGGUAGAGGCCUGCAGAGAAGGCUAUUAAGCCAGUGACGGCUGUCAACAACAAAUGCUCAGUUUGCUCAAUUAUAUUUAAUUCUAAAGCAGACAAACUUUUCAGGAAAAGUUUGAUAUAGCGGAUGGACGUCAGCGGAGGUAACUAGAGUCAUGGAUCGGGACCAGGGCAUAACUUGCCAACAACAAAAAAAAGAGAAAAUUUUAGUGUGGUGUAAAAGUAAAACAGAAUGACAAGAGAGAAGUAAGUUCAGAAUUGAAAAGAUGCAGGUCUUUAUUCUACAUGGUGAAAGAGGAAUUUUUAGUGGAUUUUUGGAUUUACCAGGUAGAUCAUUGAUACUUGUGCCUAUGUUUAAGAGGUUUAAAUUCAUUGGAAUGCAGCAUGUAUCAAAACAGCAUUGGAUCAAGAACACUUCCUUUUUGAG
rnacentral:misc_RNA from 1 species